UCUCGAGAGACGAGAGAAAGAGAGAGAGAGAGAAGAGAUGGAGAUGGUCGAGAGAGGAGAAGAUGCGACGGCCGGUACUAUCCUUUCUCACACCCUUGAUUGAACCUCGUUAGGCGUCAGAGAAGGUGAACGGGUCUGAUAGAGAUGUGUCGGAGAAGACAUGGGAAGAGGCUCGUCGGUUCGCCUGUCUAUAUCUCUCUCUCUCUGUGUUUUGAAUCUGUUUUUUUUGUUCAUGGGCAGAGCUGGUGGUCGUUAGCAGAGCAAUAUAUGGUGGUAUGCAGGACUGGAAUUAAUUACAUACAUGAAUCUGUUUAUAUUCAUGUGUGAACUUCUUCUGGUGGUGGGAGUUUGAAGCGUCAAUGGAAUUGGAGUCGAGAAAUAUAGAAGAGAAGAGAUGGAGUUGGUUCAGAGGCAAGGGAAGAGAUACAGAUAAGAAGUUUGAUGGCGGUGGAAGAGUAAAGAUUGAUGCGGUUGACGGCGGCGAAGAGUUGGUGCAGAGAUAGGAUUUUUUUCUUUUUAGGUUAAGCUGGUUUAGUUUUUUUUUUUUAAUUUCUAAACCGGGUUUAUGUGUAAACCUUAGGUUAAUCAUGGUUUGGUUUAAUGUUUUUAAUUUGUUUAUGGUUUAAUGUAUUCUUUAAU